CCCACCAAUCCCCCAUCCUCAUCCAACCCACCCAUCCCCGUCUCCUCCUCCCCACCAACCCUAGCCAUGCCCUCGCCGCCACCUCUCCUUCCCCGUUCAUCCUCUCCAGCAGCCGGCGCCACCUCUGUCUCUCCUCCUUUCUCAUCAUCGCGAGUGCCCACCUGUUGGAUCAGGUGGUCAGUGCGGGAUGCAAUAGCGCAUCUGGAGGAGGAGAACGCGACGACUCCAUCUCCUGGCAACGGCAGGGAGGACGGGUGGAUGAGGAGGCAACAGCUCGAGAGGUAGGCAAGGAAACGGCUCAAUGCCUCCUUGGAACUCCACCCUAUGUAACUUCCUCCUCCUGAUUCCUUCCUCUCUAAAUUAAUUUAGGAUUUGGGUGUGUAGUUUUUAUGGUGGGUGUGAAGGAUCUUGGGAAGGUGAGGAGGACGGAGGUGGGGGAAGGACUGCGAGUCCGGAGAAUCCAGGCUACACAUAGAAAUCCUCUCCAUCUUCCUCUCCCUUUUGAUUCCUCCAGUUCUCCAGUAAUCUGAUUUUGAUUUCUUAUUUUUUUUCCUAAGCACAAUGUGUGCAGAUCUGAGAAAGAAUAGAAGAGGAAGAAUACCAAGGAAGAGUUUGGUGAAGAAGAAUAAGGUGACAAUGUGAGUUGCAUUGACAGAAUCCAUGUAUUAAGCUGGGGCAUUUUUGGCAGCUGCAGCAACCUGACAAUUAAUUUGUUCUCAUCCAAGCACAAUGUGUGCAGAUCUGAGAAAGAAUAGAAGAGGAAGAAUACCAAGGAAGAGUUUGGUGAAGAAGAAUAAGGUGACAAUGUGAGUUGCAUUGACAGAAUCCAUGUAUUAAGCUGGGGCAUUUUUGGCAGCUGCAGCAACCUGACAAUUAAUUUGUUCUCAUCCAAGUUGGGAACUUCUAGAAAAAAAAUGACAUUUGGUUGGUUCGAUUCCAGAUUGGUCUCACCUUAUUCCUUUUAGAUGGAUGGUAUGGUCUUCCCUGCAGAUGCUGGCCAGUUAAGGUUUGUUGCAAAUAAUAGUGGAUGUUGGGCUGCCUCCACACCGCAAGAGAUGGAGAUGGUUGACGUCGGAACCAGUGGUUGAGGUCGAGUACGCCUCGUUGUCGUCGCCGUCUACAUCCGUUACGUGUGAGGAACUUGCUGUUGCUGGCACCAUAUUCAGCAGGGAGGAUAUCUAUGAGGCCUUUCAUUCUUGUGGGAUUCCCACACAUCUUGCAAGUUCAAGGGGGUGAGCUCAGCUGAAUGCGCGGCGACGUAUUGUACCUUUGCAAGCCGAGUAUCUUGCUCUAAUUUGUUGACAGGGUAAGAGAGGGCUCAAGAAAGAGACAAGAACUUGUGCUUCAAGCAGCAAAUAUAGCCAUCCUAGAUGAAUCAAAACAAGAACAAGUGUCGGGAAGUUACAGAUGAGGAAGUGCAGCUGAUAUGGCCUCUCCGUUUUUGCCCCAAAUCAACCACGGAAAAAACUGCUGGACAAUCAACUUCUUGCCAAUUUAUAGUUGACUUCCUGCUAUGAUUCUCUUCCUAAAAGAAAUUGCAAUCAUCUUGAAACAAGCUACUAUGUGCAUGUCAGGGACAGAAGUUGCUAAAGUAAGCUCCGACAUUAUAAUCUUAGAUGAUGACUUCGCAUCUGUUGUGAAGGUUAGUGUCUUCUACGUUUUUUUGGAACAGAUCUUUGUUAAGAAGGAUAGCCGUUCUCAGCAAUCAUGAUGGGAGUUUUUUUAUCGGAUGUACACGGUCAUACGGUCAUUGGAAUGGACCAAGUUAUGAAUGUUCCUGAAAUGCGAUACUAGAAUCUUUAUACGUCAACACUCUUUGAUGCGUAUCUUGAUGAUUUUUCCUUUGUUUUACAUACAUUUGUGUUCUUAACCCACUUUCUUGAUUGGCACAUAAUCAGCUUAGAAAAAGUUAUUUUAGUUGAGUACGACAUUCGAGCUGAGUAAGUGAACUUGUAUCACUUGCCACAAGAGAUUAUUGUCAGUUACCUGAUCACCUGUUAUGCUGCCCCAUUGUCUAUAUGCAGGGCAAAUCUUCACUGAAUCUUGGAGAGUGAUGGAAGAUAAUGGGCCCACGCUUUUACGAACGCCAAGGAUCCAAUUUCAAGCUUUGGCCUCUUCCACAAAUUUGCCGUUCAAUCAGGAGGUCAGCUUUUCCUUCGUAAUUUUGCAAUUUACUUCACGGAAUCAUAGUAAAGGUGGACAAGUAGAAUACCAGUUCAAAAUUUCAUUUCUUCUUAAUGAUUAAUGUAAACUUAGCCACCUAGGUGAUCAUUGCAUAGGUCUACUGGAAAUUGGUCCUAGAGGAGCUCUCCAUGAAGUUUCUACAAGAACCAAAAUCAAUCCUACAAGCAUCAGAUAUAUCAAAGGAGGAAGCAUGGUUCCCAAGUGCAUUGCUUAAUAUUGAUGAAUGUUGUCUACAACCAUGGCCUUCCCAAAACAAGACAACACAAUUAUUCUCUGGAGGGACAAGGGAUCUGAUGAUUAUCCAGUGAACUGUAUGUCUCUGAAGGAGCUUUGCACUCAACAGAUGUAUACAUCUUUAAUCAAACUAAGAGUGGGAGAUAUGCAUAAACAUUUUUUGGGAUACAUAACCACUCUUCGAACCUUAGCCAGAUUCUUCAAUCUUUGGGGUUAAUCUUUUUGUGAAAAGAAUUUCAUGAACAUGGAAAAAUGGCCAACUUUGCUUUGUACAAAAAAGGUAGACAUGAUAAUCUAUUUAUCUCUCACUGAACUACUCUGAAUUUUGUGGUACCUGGUGAAGUUUAAAAAAUGGUUAUUCCUUGCUACCUUUAAUGAUAAAUGAUAUUGAA